rnacentral:rRNA from 1 species
GAUGAACGCUAGCGGCAGGCCUAAUACAUGCAAGUCGAACGAUACCAAGGGGCUUGCUCCUUGGAAAAGUGGCGCACGGGUGCGUAACGCGUAUGCAACCUACCUUUAUCAGGGGGAUAGCCCGGAGAAAUCCGGAUUAAUACCGCAUAAAAUCACAGGAUGGCAUUAUCCAAUGAUCAAACAUUUAUGGGAUAAAGAUGGGCAUGCGUGUCAUUAGCUAGUUGGCGGGCUAACGGCCCACCAAGGCGACGAUGACUAGGGGAUCUGAGAGGAUGGCCCCCCACACUGGUACUGAGACACGGACCAGACUCCUACGGGAGGCAGCAGUAAGGAAUAUUGGUCAACGGGCGAAAGCCUGAUCCAGCCAUGCCGCGUGUGUGAAGAAGGCCUUCGGGUUGUAAAGCACUUUAAGUGGGGAGGAAAAGCGGAGCGUGAAUAUCGCUUUGCCAUGACGUUACCCACAGAAUAAGCACCGGCAAACUCCGUGCCAGCAGCCGCCGUAA